rnacentral:rRNA from 1 species
CCUACGGGGGCUGCAGUGGGGAAUAUUGGACAAUGGGCGAAAGCCUGAUCCAGCCAUGCCGCGUGUGUGAAGAAGGCCUUCGGGUUGUAAAGCACUUUCAGUGGGGAAGAAAGCCUUGGGGCUAAUACCCUCGAGGAAGGACAUCACCCACAGAAGAAGCACCGGCUAACUCCGUGCCAGCAGCCGCGGUAAUACGGAGGGUGCGAGCGUUAAUCGGAAUUACUGGGCGUAAAGCGCGCGUAGGCGGUCUGAUAAGCCGGUUGUGAAAGCCCCGGGCUCAACCUGGGAACGGCAUCCGGAACUGUCAGGCUAGAGUGCAGGAGAGGAAGGUAGAAUUCCCGGUGUAGCGGUGAAAUGCGUAGAGAUCGGGAGGAAUACCAGUGGCGAAGGCGGCCUUCUGGACUGACACUGACGCUGAGGUGCGAAAGCGUGGGUAGCAAACAGGAUUAGAUACCCGAGUCGUC